GGAGAGUUGGCAGAGCGGCUUAAUGCAUCCGGUUGCUAACCGGACGAUGCCGAGCAUCCGCAGGUUCGAAUCCUGUGCUCUCCGCCA
rnacentral:tRNA from 1 species